UAGGGAAUCUUCCGCAAUGGACGAAAGUCUGACGGAGCAACGCCGCGUGAGUGAAGAAGGAUUUCGGUUCGUAAAACUCUGUUGUUAGGGAAGAAAAAAUGUAUAGUAACUAUAUACAAAAGAGACGGUACCUAACCAGAAAGCCACGGCUAACUACGUGCCAGCAGCCGCGGUAAUACGUAGGUGGCAAGCGUUGUCCGGAAUUAUUGGGCGUAAAGCGCGCGCAGGUGGUUUAGAAAGUCUGAUGUGAAAGCCCACGGCUCAACCGUGGAGGGUCAUUGGUAACUAAUAAACUUGAGUGCAGGAGAGAAAAGUGGAAUUCCUAGUGUAGCGGUGAAAUGCGUAGAGAUUAGGAGGAACACCGGUGGCGAAAGCGGCUUUUUGGCCUGCAACUGACACUGAGGCGCGAAAGCGUGGGAGCAAACAGG
rnacentral:rRNA from 1 species